rnacentral:rRNA from 1 species
CAGUAGCCGCGGUAAAACGGAGGGUGCAAGCGUUAAUCUGAAUUACUGGGCGUAAAGCGCACGCAGGCGGUCUGACAAGUCAGAUGUGAAAUCCCCGGGCUUAACCUGGGAACUGCAUUUGAAACUGUCAGGCUGGAGUCUUGUAGAGGGGGGUAGAAUUCCAGGUGUAGCGGUGAAAUGCGUAGAGAUCUGGAGGAAUACCGGUGGCGAAGGCGGCCCCCUGGACAAAGACUGACGCUCAGGUGCGAAAGCGUGGGGAGCAAACAGGAUUAGAUACCCCUGUAGUCCCUGUCUCUUAUAC